UAAAAAAGGUGGGUGAAGGUGGAGCUUCAACACUUUAGCUUAGGGAGUUUGUCGUGAUGGGAAGGCAGCCAGCCUUGUGACAAACUUGGUGUCAUGCUGCAAGACAACAAGCUUGUUACCUUCAUCAUCACCUAUGGCCAUUGCUGCUGGAGGGCUCUCCCUAAGCUCACUGACCUCCUCCGUCGCUGCGGUAAGAGCUGUCGCCUCCGCUGGACCAACUACCUCUGUCCCGACUUGAAGCACGACCUCUUUGAUGAAGCUGAAGAGCAAUGCUCGCCUUGGCAACAGAUGGUCAAAGACUGCAGCGAUCUUACCGGAAGAACAGAUAACGAAAUCAAGAACCACCGGAACAAGAAGCUCAUCAAGAUGGGGAUAGAUCCGGUCACAACCAAGCCUCUGCAGAAGAAAGAAACAGAAAGUUGCAGCCAAGGAAGCUGCACUGAUUCCUCAGCCGCCAUAUCUCCAUUAACAGAAGCUAAUUAUUGCACUGAAAAAGAUGAGCCAUUAACAAGCCAACAUACGUGUAUGGAGGCUCUUAAAGAUGAUUCCAACAUGGGGCAGCAAAAUCUACGGUGAUAUUGGCUCAUACAGUGAUUACCAACAGCCCCAUUGAAUAAAAAAAAUCCUUCAAACAGCACACUGGAAAAUGUAUGAUCUUUAAAGACUUCAGGAUUCAGAAAACUGAGCACAGAAAUUUCCAGUUGUUGGGAAGCAAAAGAUGAUGAAGAUGGAGCAGCCAAAUAUGGUGUACGUAAAUAGCUUCAUCAAGGAAAGGAUGGUCUGGUUAUAUCUGGUGAGUUUUGGCUGCUCUUCACCACCAAAUCAUAAUUGAUGGAAGCCAACUGUGAUAAAUUCUGCAAAAGCAAAACAAUGAAGUUGCUGCAUCAUAUUUUGAUCUUUCUUUCAAGCCAGCACCAAAGUGACAUUAUUCAUACAAAUACGGUUGCUAAAUGAACUACUGCUGGUAUCUGUCAAAUCAUGAUCAUCAAAGUCACUAGCACCAUUAAAAUCCUCGUCU